GAUGAACGCUGGCGGUAUGCCUUACACAUGCAAGUCGAACGAAAAUUAGCUUCGGUUAAUUUUAGUGGCGGACGGGGGAGUAACACGUGAGAAUUUGGCUUUAGGAGGGGGAUAACGAGUGGAAACAUUCGCUAAAACCCCAUAUGCCCACGGGUGAAAAAGAGGAAACUCUGCCUGAAGAGAAGCUCGCGGCUGAUUAGCUAGUUGGUAGGGUAAUGGCCUACCAAGGCGACGAUCAGUAGCUGGUCUGAGAGGACGAUCAGCCACACUGGAACUGAGACACGGUCCAGACUCCUACGGGAGGCAGCAGUGAGGAAUUUUCUGCAAUGGGCGAAAGCCUGACAGAGCAAUACCGCGUGAGGGAUGAAGACUUACUGAGUUGUAAACCUCGGUGCCUUAAGGAAGAAGAUCUGACGGUACUUAAGGUGGAAAGCAUCGGCUAACUCCGUGCCAGCCGCCGCAGUAAUAC
rnacentral:rRNA from 1 species